rnacentral:rRNA from 1 species
UAGGGAAUCUUCCGCAAUGGGCGAAAGCCUGACGGAGCAACGCCGCGUGAGUGAUGAAGGUCUUCGGAUCGUAAAACUCUGUUAUUAGGGAAGAACAAAUGUGUAAGUAACUAUGCACGUCUUGACGGUACCUAAUCAGAAAGCCACGGCUAACUACGUGCCAGCAGCCGCGGUAAUACGUAUGUGGCAAGCGUUAUCCGGAAUUAUUGGGCGUAAAGCGCGCGUAGGCGGUUUUUUAAGUCUGAUGUGAAAGCCCACUGCUCAAUCGUGGGGGGUCAUUGGAAACUGGAAAACUUGAGUGCAGAAGUGGAAAGUGGAAUUCCAUGUGUAGCGGUGAAAUGCGCAGAGAUAUGGAGGAACAACAGUGGCCAAGGCGACUUUCUGGUCUGUAACUGACGCUGAUGUGCGAAAGCGUGGGGAUCAAACAGG